GGAGAAUGAAGGUUGUGCUCAGUGGAAUAAUUACCCCUGUUUGAACCCUACAGCGCGGGUUUAGGAGCUGAACCACUGUGUUUCUGAGAAGAAGGCAGAGAUAAGUAACUCUAAUUGCUCAGUGUGCGGGGGAGGAGGAGGCGGCGAUUUGGUCGGAAGGCUGAGAGUGCAGCGGGAGACAGCAGGAGCUGAGACGACGUCGGAG
rnacentral:misc_RNA from 1 species